UUUUAAUUUUUAAGUUUUUGAAAGAAGUCUCUUCUGCUCAUCAAGGCUGCAUUUCUUUGAAUAAAAAUACAGAAAAAGCUGUAAAAAUCUGAAAUAUUAUUAUCAUUUAAAACAGCUGUUUUCUGUGUGAAUCUCUGUUAAACUGUAAUUUAUUUCUGUGAUGUGCAGCUGUAUUUUCAGCAUCAUUACUCCAGUCUUCAGUGUCACAUGAUCUUCAGAAAUCAUUCUAAUAUGAUGAUUAGCUGUGAUUAUUAUCAGUGUUGAACACAGUCGUGCUAUUCUUUAAAGGUGCAGAAGUGGAAGGCGGUGAGCUGCUGCUCCUCAGAUUGAUGUUCUUCAGGUGUUUGACACGUUCAGGAAUCCGGUCAGGAGAACAGCGGCUUUUGUUCCAGAAACAGGGAAUAUCCUGAGCAGAUAGGGCCUGCUUGGGAAAACCGAGCAAGCGAUGCAGUUCAGGUGGGAAGGAAGGGAGGUCCGUUUUUGGAAGGCCUUGGCAGAUCCUCCCGAUCGGAUGGAGCAUAUUCGGUUCACGUGCGGCGACUGAAUGCCUUCCAAUGUUUGCAGACACUGAUGGAUGAGAACAUAACGACGUGCCGACGGACAGACCACAUC
ensembl:lncRNA